rnacentral:rRNA from 1 species
UACGGGGGGGCAAGCGUUGUUCGGAAUUACUGGGCGUAAAGGGCGCGUAGGCGGCCAACUAAGUCGGAUGUGAAAUCCCCAGGCUCAACUUGGGAACUGCAUCCGAUACUGGUCGGCUUGAAUCCGGGAGAGGGAUGCAGAAUUCCAGGUGUAGCGGUGAAAUGCGUAGAUAUCAGGAGGAACACCUAUGGCGAAGGCAGCUCGCUGGGACGGUACUGACGCUGAGGCGCGAAAGCGUGGGGAGCGAACAGG